rnacentral:rRNA from 1 species
GAUGAACGCUAGCGGCAGGCUUAAUACAUGCAAGUCGAGGGGCAGCAGGACUGUAGCAAUACAGUUGCUGGCGACCGGCAAUCGGGUGCGGAACACGUACGCAACCUACCCAAAACUGGGGGAUAGCCCGGGGAAACCCGGAUUAAUACCUCGUAACCUUUUUAAGUGGCAUCACUUGAUAAGUAUAGCUCCGGCGGUUUUGGAUGGGCGUGCGCCUGAUUAGGUAGUUGGUGCGGGUAACGGCCCACCAAGCCUGCGAUCAGUAACUGGUGUGAGAGCACGACCAGUCACACGGGCACUGAGACACGGGCCCGACUCCUACGGGAGGCAGCAGUAAGGAAUAUUGGUCAAUGGACGCAAGUCUGAACCAGCCAUGCCGCGUGAAGGAUGAAGGUCCUCUGGAUUGUAAACUUCUUUUAUGGGGGACGAAACCCGGAUAUUCUUAUCCGAUUGACGGUACCUCAGGAAUAAGCACCGGCUAACUCCGUG